UACGUAGGUGGCAAGCGUUGUCCGGAAUUAUUGGGCGUAAAGCGCGCGCAGGCGGUCCUUUAAGUCUGAUGUGAAAGCCCACGGCUCAACCGUGGAGGGUCAUUGGAAACUGGAGGACUUGAGUACAGAAGAGGAAAGCGGAAUUCCACGUGUAGCGGUGAAAUGCGUAGAGAUGUGGAGGAACACCAGUGGCGAAGGCGGCUUUCUGGUCUGUAACUGACGCUGAGACGCGAAAGCGUGGGGAGCGAACCGG
rnacentral:rRNA from 1 species